rnacentral:rRNA from 1 species
AAUGAACGCUGGCGGCGUGCUUAACACAUGCAAGUCGUGCGCGAAGGAGGCUUCGGCCUCCGGAGAGCGGCGAACGGGUGAGUAACACGUGGGUAAUCUACCUAGGAGUGGGGGAUAACCUGGGGAAACUCGGGCUAAUACCGCAUACGUUGGUUGGGCUACGGUUUGACCAAGAAAGCUGGCCUCUGCUUGCAAGCUAGCGAUCCUAGAGGAGCCCGCGGCUGAUUAGCUAGNGGUGAGGUAAUGGCUCACCAAGGCAUCGAUCAGUAGCCGGCCUGAGAGGGUGAUCGGCCACACUGGGACUGAGACACGGCCCAGACUCCUACGGGAGGCAGCAGU